UUCUUGGCCAUGCUUAUCUUUGCUGUCUGCUGCACAACCCUCUUCCAUGCACAACCACUCUUUACUGAGCCUGGAAAGAGCCUUUUCCUGAACGAGACAGAAAAAGUUACUCCGAAGCAACUGAUUACUGGCCUCCCCUUCCCACUCCUGCAGCAGUUGGUCGUAGGAUCACUGCAAACAUAGCCACAGAAACUGCUUUAAAAGCAGUUUGGUGGACUGGUAGGUGACUUGGAAAGAUGAAGCCAGCCGGUAGAGAUGUCUAAUGCAUCUCCAGAAACCACGGCAUAUUUGCAACGAUUGCCAUAGUGACACAGCACACUGUUUUGUCCAUGAUCAAAUAGAAUGAUGAUCAAAUAGAAUAGGUCAAAAUGUUGCCAUUUAUCCCAAACUGAGAUAAAACAAUGACAUAAGAGGGAUAAUGGGACUUUGGAUAUGGUCCCCAUAUCCCAUAAUUCCGCUGGAUUUCAAAUAGCUGCCAUUAUGUAUCUCACAAUGGCCUGGGGAAAAAAAGUUCCACAGUGUGUAGGAUUCUUCUGUAGACAAGACCACAAUAGCAGAAUUCUGGAUGUUUCAUAAGGAGCAAAUGCUCAUGUUGCAGAAACAUUGAUACCGGUUGUGUGAAUAGAAGUAGCACAGAUAAUUAAUGUGUAACAGUUAAUGCUAUUUGCAAGCGAGAGCCCCAGUUCCCCUUCAGCAAAUCCCGUGUGACCCAGUGGGCUGCUGCAUUGUGUGUUGUUUGAGCUUCUCAGGAAGGUCUUGAACUCACAGCCACUAGCAAAAGCUUCCUUUCUUCUACAUGCUGCAUGGUUGGAAACCAACACUGUCUUCUAGCAAGUGAUGGGGAAAAGGAAAGGAAUUAUCUAGGAGAGAAAGAAGAAAGGUUCAAAAGGAAUUGUCUGGUGAUUGAUCACUCUUCGUGUAUUUUAAAGAGACAUUUUCUCUUGCAAAGCAAAUCUCUGCUGGACACUCUCUCCUACGCCCAAACGGUCUGUCAGUUCAUUUCUACAAUUGUGGGAGGAUGAAGCAAAUGUUUUAAAUUACAGCUAUGGAGGGAGAAUUUAACUAAAGCGCAAAUAUGAGUCACGAAAACAUUUGUGCCUUAUUUUCAGGGUAAUAACUAAACACCUGCUAAAUUACAUUUUAAAAAAUUACCCAGUAUUUCACAGUGCAUUUUAUUCUUUUGUUUGUUAUUUUGUCUCUCAAGCUCCCCCUUGAUCUGCGUAGGAAGAUUGCCUCAUCCAUGCAGAGCUCCCAAAGCUCAGCAGAGCUCUGCAUGUAUGAUGCUCUGCCCAGGUGGGUCUGAUAAUGGGACAGUGUCUGAGGUCUGGGACACUCAGGGACAUCAUCAGGAACAUCAGGGACAUGCACUUCACUGCACAUUAGGCAUGGUCCUGGCAUAACACUGCACCAGCACGACGUGAGAGAAGAGAUCAUUGCACACACACACAAAUAAAACAGACUAUUUUGAAAACUUGUGCAACUGAAAUAAGAAUUACCAUUAAAAGUGACUCAUCUGUGCUGACUCUGUUUAACCUUUACUUUCCCACGUGUUGCUGUUUUCCUCUGUUAACAACUUUAGUGAAAGAGUUGCCGAGGAGGAGAAUGCUGUAGGGUGGCAUUAUCUCCCUUAAGAUGUGGAGUGCUUAUUUGGUUCCUGAGCCUCUUGGGAACAUGGUGGAGGGCUCGUGCUCAGUUGUCUGGUUUGCUUUUUAUGUUUUCUUUAGUUGUUUUUCAUUUUGGCACUGAGUGGGCAGGCAAGACUCUUGAACAAUCUGUAAUUAUAUAGUGUCACAGUUGAUGAGGUUACAAAGGAGUAAAUAUGUAGUUGGUAUUAGAGAGGAUAUUUUUAACAAUACUCACUCUACAUCUAAUAGAGUGCAUCUGUGUCCUCUGUGGGCACUCUUCCUCAGAUAAUAUAAAAGGAGAGCAAUGGGGAAGAGAGCAGCAUAACAAUAUCUGCAUAGUCUUCAGCAGAAUCAGUUUCUGCAAAUACACACUUGACAUCUGAACUCUUUCAUACCUGUGCUGCUCCUAUUGAUGCCAGUGGCAUCUUUGCCCUUGAAUAGGAAUGGGAUUGAAUUUUGACUGUUGAAUCUCUUAUGACAAGAGAGGUGGAAGUUUCCCAGCGUGAUCUGAUUGCCAUAGUCAAAGAGAAGAGUUUUAUUAGGCCACAGUGUCAGUAAUUCUUGACCUGGGGUCAUGACUGUGUCUCAGGGAGGCACAACUCUCCCUUCUUUUUGGCUCAUAGGGAGAGAACGGCAAUCUGAUAUAUUUUUUCUGCUGUAACAUGGGUCAUGGCACAGAAUAGAAUAAAGCAGUUUCAUCCGCCUGCCUCUGCUGGGUUCUUACCUGCUGUGUUUCCACUUUUGCUAGCCAAAUUUUGGCAUCUCAGUGAUACAGAACAGCCU